GAUGAACGCUGGCGGCGUGCCUAAUACAUGCAAGUCGAGCGCAGGAAGCUGGCGGAACUCUUCGGAGGGAAGGCAGUGGAAUGAGCGGCGGACGGGUGAGUAACACGUAAGGAACCUGCCUCAAGGAUUGGGAUAACUCCGAGAAAUCGGAGCUAAUACCGGAUAGUUCAACGGACCGCAUGGUCCGCUGAUGAAAGGCGCUCCGGCGUCACCUUGAGAUGGCCUUGCGGUGCAUCAGCUAGUUGGUGGGGUAACGGCCCACCAAGGCGACGAUGCAUAGACGACCGGAGAGGGUGAUCGGCCACACUGGGACUGAGACACGGCCCAGACUCCUACGGGAGGCAGCAGUAGGGAAUCUUCCACAAUGGACGAAAGUCUGAUGGAGCAACGCCGCGUGAGUGAUGAAGGUUUUCGGAUCGUAAAACUCUGUUGUAAGGGAAGAACACGUACGAGAGGAAAUGCUCGUACCUUGACGGUACCUUACGAGAAAGCCACGGCUAACUACGUGCCAGCCGCCGCCGUAA
rnacentral:rRNA from 1 species